GGUAAGAAUCGCGCAGGCGUGGGCUGAUCUAAAGUUUGUUUUAUUCUUUUUAUUUUCUGUUUCGUUAUCUAAGAUCCUCUGUGGUGACUGGAUCCUACAAUGGCCGCCAUCUAUUUAUUUUAUUUGCUGGCCAUCUAUCAUACGAUGGCGGUCAUCGAGGGCUGCAUAGUAUUUUAUGAUCGGACUGCACGCUGCACCGCGGGAGAUCCAUGCUCUCGGUACGCCCCGGGCCCUUGGCCAUUUGAUAAAGAAAUGUGUCACGUGAUGAGUGUCCACAUGCUGCUGAAAAGAAUACAGUGAGGCAGGGUAAAGCGCUUUGGUCCCCACUCCACCCCACCCCAAGGCAUAUACAGAGAGAAAAUGAAAGAUUGCUGACCUUUUGUAAGUUUUAUUUGAUAAUGAUCUGAUGGUGAAGGAGAGGACUUUAUGGCCUACUUCGACACUCAUGACGCCGACGAUGAGAACAUGUAGAGGAGCAGCCACAUAGAGGCUUUGAUUAGUCCUCCCGUGAAACGGAAAGGCCUUGGACGGGAGAGGAAUCCUGGCUCUCAUUGAAACCUCAUCCCGCCGCCGAGAGGCCCCACCUCAUCCCGCCGCCGCUCUCUAGCGCUCGCCCAUAUUCACAUGUCCACAAUAUUUUACAGGAAUUUCUCAGCCAUCUUCUCGUGGUUAGAUGUAAUAAUAAGGCAUCAAUCAUAUGAGAAAUUGAUAGUUAACCCCCAACCAUAUAAACUAAUAACAUUCGCGAAUUUUCUCAUUUUAAAAAAGAGAAAAAAAUGAGCCUAUAGUUGCACCUACCAUUUAAAAGAAGAACGGACAAAGGGCAUGGCAUUUGUUGUCAUACCAAUGGCUGACGAUUAAUUACACAAUAAACAGGGUAAUUCCUCCAAAUUUCUAAAGGGCCUGGAGUUUGGUGCGAUUUAUCUCCUUUCGUUGUACCAUUGUAUCUUAUACUCAAAUAAAAUAGUAAUGAUAGCAGCAGAAGCAGCGCAACAGAUUAAUGAAAUC
rnacentral:lncRNA from 1 species